rnacentral:rRNA from 1 species
CAGUAGCCGCGGUAAUACGAGGGGGGCAAGCGUUGUUCGGAAUUAUUGGGCGUAAAGGGUGCGUAGGCGGUUUGACAAGUCUUAUGUGAAAUCUCUGGGCUCAACCCAGAGUCUGCAUGGGAAACUGUCGAGCUUGAGUAUGGGAGAGGUGAGUGGAAUUUCCGGUGUAGCGGUGAAAUGCGUAGAUAUCGGAAGGAACACCUGUGGCGAAAGCGGCUCACUGGACCAUUACUGACGCUGAUGCGCGAAAGCUAGGGGAGCAAACAGGAUUAGAUACCCCGGUAGUCCCUGUCUCUUAUAC